rnacentral:rRNA from 1 species
UAGAGUUUGAUCCUGGCUCAGGAUGAACUCUAGCUACAGGCUUAACACAUGCAAGUCGAGGGGCAGCAUGAACUUAGCUUGCUAAGUUUGAUGGCGACCGGCGCACGGGUGAGUAACACGUAUCCAACCUGCCGAUGACUCGGGGAUAGCCUUUCGAAAGAAAGAUUAAUACCCGAUGGCAUAGUUCUUCCGCAUGGUAGGACUAUUAAAGAAUUUCGGUCAUCGAUGGGGAUGCGUUCCAUUAGCUUGUUGGCGGGGUAACGGCCCACCAAGGCAUCGAUGGAUAGGGGUUCUGAGAGGAAGGUCCCCCACAUUGGAACUGAGACACGGUCCAAACUCCUACGGGAGGCAGCAGUGAGGAAUAUUGGUCAAUGGGCGCUAGCCUGAACCAGCCAAGUAGCGUGAAGGAUGACUGCCCUAUGGGUUGUAAACUUCUUUUAUAUGGGAAUAAAGUGCAGUAUGUAUACUGCUUUGCAUGUACCUUAUGAAUAAGGAUCGGCUAACUCCGUGCCAGCAGCCGCGGUAAUACGGAGGAUCCGAGCGUUAUCCGGAUUUAUUGGGUUUAAAGGGAGCGUAGGCGGGUUGUUAAGUCAGUUGUGAGAGUUUGCGGCUCAACCGUUAAAAUUGCAGUUGAUACUGGCAUCCUUGAGUACAGUAGAGGUAGGCGGAAUUCGUGGUGUAGCGGUGAAAUGCUUAGAUAUCACGAAGAACUCCGAUUGCGAAGGCAGCCUGCUGGACUGUAACUGACGCUGAUGCUCGAAAGUGUGGGUAUCAAACAGGAUUAGAUACCCUGGUAGUCCACGCAGUAAACGAUGAAUGCUAGUUGUCCGGGGCGAUUGAGUUCUGGGUGACACAGCGAAAGCGAUAAGCAUUCCACCUGGGGAGUACGCCGGCAACGGUGAAACUCAAAGGAAUUGACGGGGGCCCGCACAAGCGGAGGAACAUGUGGUUUAAUUCGAUGAUACGCGAGGAACCUUACCCGGGCUCAAACGGGGAGUGACUCAGGCAGAGACGCCUGUUUCCCACGGGACACUCCCCGAGGUGCUGCAUGGUUGUCGUCAGCUCGUGCCGUGAGGUGUCGGCUUAAGUGCCAUAACGAGCGCAACCCCCGCGUGCAGUUGCUAACAGAUAACGCUGAGGACUCUGCACGGACUGCCGGCGCAAGCCGCGAGGAAGGCGGGGAUGACGUCAAAUCAGCACGGCCCUUACGUCCGGGGCGACACACGUGUUACAAUGGGUGGUACAGCGGGAAGCCAGGCGGCGACGCCGAGCGGAACCCGAAAUCCACUCUCAGUUCGGAUCGGAGUCUGCAACCCGACUCCGUGAAGCUGGAUUCGCUAGUAAUCGCGCAUCAGCCAUGGCGCGGUGAAUACGUUCCCGGGCCUUGCACACACCGCCCGUCAAG